rnacentral:rRNA from 1 species
AGCGUAGACGGAGUGGCAAGUCUGAUGUGAAAACCCGGGGCUCAACCCCGGGACUGCAUUGGAAACUGUCAAUCUAGAGUACCGGAGAGGUAAGCGGAAUUCCUAGUGUAGCGGUGAAAUGCGUAGAUAUUAGGAGGAACACCAGUGGCGAAGGCGGCUUACUGGCGGUAACUGACGUUGAGGCUCGAAAGCGUGGGGAGCAAACA